rnacentral:lncRNA from 1 species
CCUAACACCACUUCUCUUGGACCCGUUGAGAUUUGUUUGUUACCUCUGCCACUUAUUAAGCAACUUUUUCCCGUAUUUACGAAGGUAGGGUUCUCUUCAGAGACCCUUCUUCUUCAUCAACCAUGGAAUAAGAAGGAAGGGUUUGUUCUUUGUCCACAGGCGUAAUUAAUUGCCUUGGAUCAGCCGGAGAUCGAGAAGCUUAUGAACGGAUAUCAAAGCUUGCCUCCACCUCACCUCCUCCAAUCCCAUCCUCCUCCGAAACUCAAACUCCUCUUAACCUUGCCUGCAACUCUAUCUCCACCUCUUCUUCUUCAAAAACUCCAGCCCCCUCCACAACGCCCACUGGUCCUUCUUUCACCUGCAAAACCAAAGAAACAAGUGAGAUACCCAUCAAAACGAAGAUCUCUUGCACUGAAAUAAGUAUG